AGCAGCCGCGGUAAUUCCAGCUCCAAUAGCGUAUAUUAAAGUUGUUGCAGUUAAAAAGCUCGUAGUUGAAUUUCGGGAUCAAUAUGUUGGUCGUGCCUUGGUACGCACUGGCAUUAUCGAUUCCUACCUUCUGAAGAACCUCGAUGUCAUUAAUUUGGUGUCUUGGGGAAUCAGGACUGUUACUUUGAAAAAAUUAGAGUGUUUAAAGCAGGCUCGCGCUUGAAUACAUUAGCAUGGAAUAAUGAAAUAGGACGUUUGAUUCUAUUUUGUUGGUUUCUAGGAUCGACGUAAUGAUUAAUAGGGAUAGUUGGGGGCAUUAGUAUUCAAUUGUCAGAGGUGAAAUUCUUGGAUUUAUUGAAGACUAACUACUGCGAAAGCAUUUGCCAAGGAUGUUUUCAUUAAUCAAGAACGAAAGUUAGGGGAUCGAAGACGAUCAGAUACCGUCGUAGUCUUAACCAUAAACUAUGCCGACUAGGGAUCGGAUGAUGUUAAUUUUUUAAUGACUCAUUCGGCGCCUUACG
rnacentral:rRNA from 1 species